ACAUAGGAGCUGUCUCUGCUUCUCUGGUUCCUGGCCCUGGGUGAUUAGGGCAGGUGGAGAGUGACCCAAGGGCUGAAAAGCACAAUAAAGGAGAUGGUUGGGGGUCUGGGUUCUGGAGGGUUUGGUUUGCAUAUGAAAAAUGUGCUCCUCUCCCAGAGAGUCCUUUUCUCCUGAGGUCACCUGUGUCACACUGUCCCAAUGUCAGCUCCCAGGGAACUUUCUCCUGGCUAUUCCCAGGGCUGAGGGCUACAUCCCUGCCUCCCCAUUCUCUCUCCCUCCUGCCCCUGACUUACCAGACACCUCCACGUAUCCAUCUUUGGUCUUCACCAUCAACUCCUCUGGCUUGAAGCUGUGCACAUUCACACACACUUUCCAGGGCUCCCCAGGGAAGGGUGGGGGGGUCCUGCCCUCGGCAGGCACCCCAAACCUGGCGGUGGCAGUGGGGCCCCG
rnacentral:lncRNA from 1 species